UGGGUUUGUUGGCUCAGGAACCCAAUCUGCAUGAUCUUGUUUAUAGCCAGCUACAAACAUUUUGCAGCGUUUUACUAAACGUUUGUGAAGUGUUGUCAUAUAAAACAUCUCUUAUGAUACUUACAGAAGUCCCGAGGUAGACAGAAGACUUACCUAGUAUACUCUUUUUAUGGACAAGAAAACGGAGAAAGUUUAAAGAGACUUGACCCAGCUUAACAAAAGGUCUGAUGGAAGGCUUUCUCAUUUCACAGCUGACAGCACUGGAGACAGAGCAGGAUCACAGAAGAAGAAAAUAAUGAGACCCUCAACUGGCUCUGAGAAAGCAAGCUAUCAUCUUGUGAAAUGCCCUGUGGAAAAGCCCAUGUAGCAAAGGACAGCCAAUAGCCAACAGAAAGCUGAUGCCCUCAGUCCAACAGCCUGCAAGAAACUGAAUUCUGCCAGCAACCAUGUGAGAUUGGAAGCAGAUUCUUCCGUGCAGUCUUGUGAGAGAUUAUGAAGCAAAGGACUCAAGUUGUGCCCAGAUUCCUGACCCACAGAUACCGUGUGAUAAUAAAUGCAUAUUGUCUUAAACCA
rnacentral:lncRNA from 1 species